CGAUACAUAUGAUUUAUAUGCUCCGGCUUGAGGGGGAGUGUUAGAGAUAGCUAUGUAAUUGUCCCACAUUGGAAUAAGAGUAAUAUCCCCUUUGUAUAGAGUAGCUAUAAAUAGCACCUCUUGUAUUGCAUCACACACAAUAUAUCAAUAUAUCAUAUUUUCUCCCGUGCAUUCUCACAAGUCCUAUAGAUUGUUAUUUUUCGCAAAAAUCAGGAGAUAUGGGAGGGAAAAGUGGUAAUCCUCAAAUUGAUGCCAAAGCGAUUUUGAGGGAUAGUGCAGUUGCAAUGUUUGCGCGGUGGAUGUAUGAUGCAGGUUUUCUUUUUAAUUAUGUUAAUUAUACUGACACUUUUUUUGCUUUUAUUGAGGCCGUAGGCCAAUAUGGUCCAGGAAUGAAGCCUCUAACUUAUCGAAGUUAGAGGUCCAUAUCUAAAAAAAGAAGUGGAAAAGACUAACAAAAUCGUGGAGGAGCACAAAGUAGAAUGGAACAAGUUUGGUUGUUCCAUUAUGAUGGAUAAGUGGACGGUAAGAAAUGGAAAAAUAAUCAUCAAUAUCUUGGUGAAUUCUCCUAAGGGAAGCUUGUUUCUUGAGUCCAUUGAUGCAAGCCACUCUUCUACUGAUUCAACCAAAAUGUACUCUUUGUUCAAGAGUACAAUAAACUCUAUUGGAGCAGAAAAUGUUGUUCAAGUUAUCACGGACACCGGUGGUGAAAAUGUUAAAGCUGGUGAUUUGAUGUCUGUAGAGUACCCGCAUAUUUAUUGGACUCCGUGUGCAACACAUUGCAUUAGUUUGAUCUUCGGUGACAUUUUUAGGGAAAAACCCUUCAGUUCAGUCUUUAAUCAGGCAAUUAGAGUGCAUUACUAUAUUGUUCAAAGGCCUUUUUUAUUGAAUAUGAUAAAGAGAUUCACUAAACAAAGAAGCUUGGUGAAAUCUGCAAAGACAAGAUUUGCUACUGCUUUCUUGACUUUGCAUAGGAUGUAUGAGCAAAAAAACAAUUUGAAGAAGUUGUUUGUUUCAGAUAAGUAUACUAACAGUGCCUAUGGAAGGGAAGCUCGAGGGAGAGAAUCUGCAGAUAUUAUGCUUUCUACUUCAUUCUGGAAUAAUGUGGUUCAUGCAUUGAAGAUUGGUGGUCUUUUAGUUAAAGUGCUUUGUUUGGUAGAUGGGGAGCAAAGACCGCCAAUGGGCUACUUUUACGAAGCAAUGGAUAGGGCAAAGAAGGCUAUUCGAGACUCUUUUAUUGAUCCAAGAAAAUAUAAAAGAGUCUUUGAGAUCAUAGAUAAAAGGUGGAGCAGUCAGAUUCAUCACCCUUUGCAUGCAGCUGGACUUGUUUUGAACCCGGAACUGUUUUAUGGCAAUGAAGAAUGGAUUAUAGGAGAUGAAGAAUUGUGGAAUGGAUACAUUAAAUGUAUUGAGAAGUUGAUACCUGAAGAGUCCAUGCAAGAUAAAAUAACAGAGCAAUUUAGUACUCAUAGGAAUGUUGAGCAACUUUUUAGAAAAAACAUGGCUAUUAGACAAAGAAAGAUGAAGUCACCAGGUGAGCGAGUGCUUAUAUGUUGCUUUAUAGUUAAUAAGUUAUUUCUUUAUAAAUAUUAUGUUUUGAAUAAUUGUUUUGGUGGAAGCAAUAUGGCCAUUCCACUCCAGAAUUACAAAAGUUUGCCAUCAAGGUUUUAAGUCUAACGUGUAGCUCAGCCGGGUGUGAAAGGAAUUGGAGCGUGUUUGAACAUAUUCAUACCAAAAAGAGGAACAAACUAACCUUGAAGUGUCUCAAUGAUCUAGUUUUCAUAAGUACAAUAGAACAUUGAGGCGUCGUUACAACGCUCACAAUGUAAUUGAUCCAAUUAGUUUGGACAACAUCGAUGAUGCUAAUGAAAGGCUAACUGGAGUCUCGGAAGAUCAUGUAGAUGAAGAUGUAUUUGAGGAAACUUUUGAUUUCACUUGGGGUGAUGUUGCGGAGACGCGUGAAAUUGGGGAGAGGAUUUUUGGUUUGAGGGGGAGUACCUCAACUUCAAGCUCACAGAGGAAAGGAAAAGAAGCAGCUACCUUGUCCCUAGUUGAUGAAGAAGAAGUUGAAGAAGAUGACGAGCAAUAUAAUAAUAAUAGUAGAAUACAAGAAUUUGACAAUCUAGUAGAAGAAUAGGAUGCUCAUUUUGUGCUUUAAUUGAUGCUACUCUUUACUUUUUACAUUGAAGUAUUGAACAUUUGCUUACAGUUACAUGUGUUGUCUAUGCAAUAUUUAUUUUAAUAUUUUUGUUUAAAUUCCGCUUCACUUCAAAAAUGCGAGCGCUUCGCUUCUCGCUUCUCUCUUUAAGCGUAAAGGGGGUUGUCGCUUUUCCUCGCUUCACGCUCUUCACAACACUGUGUUAGAGUUGCCAAAGAAGAAUUGGUUCUUUAAGGGAAAGGGUAUUUCAAAUUUUAAUAUAUGUGGCUUCAACAUGUGGGAUUCAAUAUGACUUUUUAGAAAUGUUGGAUGAUUGUGAAAAAUGAUAUUCUGACAACAAGUAGAUUAUUUUCAUUGAAAAGGGUCAUCAAUUAAGAGGAGCUUCAAUGCUACAUUUAUAGCUCUCAUCCCCAAAAAGAGAGGAGCUCUGAACAUAAAAGAUUAUAGGCCCAUCAGUCUAUUGGUGAAUUGGGGAAUGUAUAUAAGAUCAUAGCUAAAACUUUAACUGAAAUAUUAAAAAGGGGUUAUGAAUAAAUUGGCGUCAGGCAAUCGAAAUGCCUUCAUAAUAGGAAGACAAAUUGGAGAUGCUUAACGGGUGGCAAAUGAAUGCCUUGAUUAUAUUAGUUAGAAAUGAAGAAGAAACGGGUGAUAUAUAAGUUGGAGCUAGAGAUUCUUGUGACCAUGUUAAUUGGUCUUUUCUUCUUGACAUUAUGAGGCAAAUGAAGUUUGGUGAAAAAUGCAUCUAAUGGAUUAGAACUUGCAUUUCUACCGUAAGAUUUCAGUCUUAAUAAAUGGGAGUCCAGAAGGUUUUUUAAGUCCCAAAGGGGACUUAGACAGGGAGAUUCAUUGUCUCUUUUUGUUUGUUUGUUUUGUUCUAGUAAUGGAAGUCUUAAGCAAAAUGCUAAAGAAAGCUUCUAAUAGUGGAUGUAUAAAGGGUUUUGGGAUUGAAGAUAAUGGAAGAAACGUUUUGGAGGUCGGUCAUAUAUAAUAUGCGGAUGACACUCUGGUGCUCUAUGAAGCUGAUAAAUGGCAAUUCAUAUAUGUGAGCAUAAUUUUGCUUGCUUUUGGGGAAAUUUCUGGUUUAAAGAUACAUCUAAGAGUAGUGUGUUCUUUGUUAGUGCUGAUGAGUGUAUAGAAGAGGUUGCUGAUAUAUUGGGUUGUAGUAUUGGAAAGUUCCUUGCUACUUAUCUGGGAUGGCCUUUGGGAGCCAAAAGAUGUGAUGUUAGUAUGUGGCUAGGAGUUGUUAAUAAGCGUGAACGGAAAUUAUCAGCACAGAAGAAGCUAUACCUAUCAAUUGGAGGAAGUUUAAUUUUGGUUUACAGUGCAUUGGAUGGGAUUCCAACUUAUUUAAUGUCUUUGGUUCCUAUUCCAUCAGAAGUGGAAAAAAAGAUUAACAAAUUGAGGAGGGAUUUUAUUUGUGAAGGAAAUGCUGAGAACAGGAAGAUUCAUUUGGUAAAUUGGGAAAAAAUUACAAGAUGUAAAUAAGAAGGGGAAGGAAGGGAUUAGGGGUUAGAGAUCUAAAAGUGCAUAAUAAGAGUCUCUCAUGCAAAUAGUUGUGGAGAUGGAAUGAUAAUAGAGAAGCUAUCUGGAAAAAUGUUAUACAAGUUAAGUAUGGUAGAGAAGGUGUUUUGUGUCCAAAUUAAAUAUCCUCAUGGACAAUGUUUUUGAGAGCGUGAAGCGUAGAAAAGUGACAAGGGCUUGAUUCGGUUAAAGCGUGAAGCAAAGUGAAAUUUUAGAAAUACCAAAAUAAAUCUUAGAGCACAUGAAAAAAAAAAGAGAGAAGAAGACAAAUAGAAUUUAGUUAAAUUAACAAACUGAAAAAAAAGAAAAAAUAGAAUAAUAUAAAAAUUCAAUUUUAACUUAAACAAAGUGAAAAAAAAACAGCAGAGCAUCUAUUAAAAUAACAGUUAGAGUACAUGAAGAGAAACAGGAGAAGAAGAUAAAUAAAUAAAUAAAUAAAUUCAAUAAAACUAAGAAUUGAAACAAAAAGAAAAAGAAAUAAUUUAAGUUUCAAUUAGUAAAUUAACAAAGUGAAUGAUAAAUGGACCUCAGGCCUAACUCAACCCCAAAAGCUUGCUUAUGAAGUGAGGAUUGCUCAAGACCAUAUAAGGAGAUCAAGGACCUUAAAUCCCACCGAUGUGAGACAACUCAAUACCCCCCUCACGCCCAGGCCUACAAACUGGAGAGUGGACAACAUAAAUGGGGGCCCAACGUCGUUAAUUAUUGGGAUGAGCCUGACUCUAAUACUAUGAUAAAUGGACCUUAGGCCUAACUCAACCCCAAAAGCUAGCUUAUUAGGUGAGGAUUGUCCAAGACCAUAUAAGGAGACCAAGGACCUCAAAUCCCACCGAUGUAGGACAGCUCAACGGUGAAAAGAAAGACACAAAACUACACUAGGUUUUUUGUUGUUGUUGUUGAACAGAAAGACACAGCGACAGACACAACAGAGAAACAAAGUGAUCAUUAUUUUUGAUUUUGUGGACUUGAUAGACUGUCUUUGUGUAUCAUCAAGUCCCCUUUGUAAACUUCUUGGUACCUUGUUGGUACAUUUUCUAUUGUUAAAACACCUUACCUUAUCAUAAUAAAAAAACAAGUUAAUAUGGAACCUCAUGUAAUGUUAUAACUGACAAAGUUUGACAAUGAUUUUGGACACUAGCUUAAGGUUAGCUAUAUUUCCAUAGCUUUGAAUGUUACAGUAGAGUAUUUCAUUUAUGUACGUCAGAUUCCAGCCCAAUGCUUAGAAAUGGUGAGACUGGAGAUUGGAUUGGAACAUUUGAAGGACAUAAAGGAGCAGUAUGGAGUUGCUGCUUGGACACAAAUGCAUUGCGUGCUGC